GCCUCGAUAGCGCAACGGUUCAGCACACGCUCCCGGAAAGGGUGAAAUGUGGGUUCGAAUCCCAGCCGACGCA